GAACUAAAACUAGCCCACUACUUUAUUUAACCCAAUUAUCAAAAUAAAAUAAAACAAAACAUUUACUUAAUGUCUUAAAGUAUAGGAGAUAGAAAUUUUAACUUGGCGCUAUAGAGAGAGUACCGUAAGGGAACGAUGAAAGAAGCUAUUCAAAGUAUAAGAAAGCAAAGAUUACCCCUUGUACCUUUUGCAUAAUGAGUUAACUAGUAUAAAGCUUAACAAAACGAAUUUCAGCUAAGCUACCCGAAACCAGACGAGCUACCUAUGAACAGUUUAUUAAGAACCAACUCAUCUAUGUAGCAAAAUAGUGAGAAGAUUUAUAGGUAGAGGUGACACGCCCAACGAGCCUGGUGAUAGCUGGUUGUCCAGGAAAUGAAUUUAAGUUCAGCUUUAAAUAUACUAAAAACCAAACAAAUUUCACUGUAUUUUUAAAAGUUAGUCUAAAAAGGUACAGCCUUUUAGAAAUGGAUACAACCUUGACUAGAGAGUAAAAUCUAACAACACCAUAGUAGGCCCAAAAGCAGCCACCAAUUAAGAAAGCGUUAAAGCUCAACAAUAAAAACAAUAUUAAUUCCACUAGUAAAUAAUCAACUCCUAGCUCAAUACUGGACCAAUCUAUUAAAAAAUAGAAGCAAUAAUGUUAACAUGAGUAACAAGAAGUAUCUUCUCCUUGCAUAAGCUUAAGUCAGUAUCUGAUAAUAUUCUGACUAUUAACAGCAAAUAAUAUUAACCUAACAAUAAAUAAUUUAUUAGCCAUACUGUUAACCCAACACAGGAAUGCACUCAAGGAAAGAUUAAAAGAAGUAAAAGGAACUCGGCAAACACGAACCCCGCCUGUUUACCAAAAACAUCACCUCCUGCAUUUCCAAUAUUGGAGGCACUGCCUGCCCAGUGACAAUCGUUAAACGGCCGCGGUAUCCUGACCGUGCAAAGGUAGCAUAAUCAUUUGUUCUCUAAAUAAGGACUUGUAUGAAUGGCCACACGAGGGUUCUACUGUCUCUUACUUCCAAUCAGUGAAAUUGACCUUUCCGUGAAGAGGCGGAAAUAAACUAAUAAGACGAGAAGACCCUAUGGAGCUUUAACUAACUAGUCUAAGGAAAAUAAAUAUAACCAUCAAGGGAUAACAACACUCUUAAUAGACUAGCAGUUUUGGUUGGGGUGACCUCGGAGAACAAAAAAUCCUCCGAACGAUUUUAAAGACUAGACUAACAAGUCAAAUCACACUAUCGCUUAUUGAUCCAAAGAAAUUUGAUCAACGGAACAAGUUACCCUAGGGAUAACAGCGCAAUCCUAUUCAAGAGUCCAUAUCGACAAUAGGGUUUACGACCUCGAUGUUGGAUCAGGACACCCAGAUGGUGCAACCGCUAUCAAAGGUUCGUUUGUUCAACGAUUAAAGUCCUACGUGAUCUGAGUUCAGACCGGAGUAAUCCAGGUCGGUUUCUAUCUAUUAUACAUUUCUCCCAGUACGAAAGGACAAGAGAAAUAAGGCCAACUUCAACCAAGCGCCUUAAAUCAAUUAAUGAUUUCAUCUUAAUUAACUCCGUAAACAAGUCACACCCUAGACAAGGGUCA
rnacentral:rRNA from 1 species